rfam:Cryphonectria parasitica small subunit ribosomal RNA gene, complete sequence; including introns with putative maturase (mtSrRNA I1), (mtSrRNA I2), (mtSrRNA I3), and (mtSrRNA I4) genes, complete cds, mitochondrial genes for mitochondrial pro
UUGAGCCGUAUGCCAUGAAAGUGGCACGUACGGUUCUGAGGGGGGGAAAGUCUGAGAGGACCUACCUAUCCCA